UACGGAGGGCGCGUGCGUUAAUCGGAAUUACUGGGCGUAAAGCGCGCGUAGGCUGUUGUGUAAGUUGGGGGUGAAAUCCCACGGCUCAACCGUGGAACAGCCCUUGAUACUGCGCGACUUGAAUCCGGGAGAGGGUGGCGGAAUUCCAGGUGUAGGAGUGAAAUCCGUAGAUAUCUGGAGGAACAUCAGUGGCGAAGGCGGCCACCUGGACCGGUAUUGACGCUGAGGCGCGAAAGCGUGGGGAGCAAACAGG
rnacentral:rRNA from 1 species